rnacentral:lncRNA from 1 species
CAAAUCUGUUAAACCAUGCUGGAAAGAACAUAUGUAUGGGACGGAUUUAUCACUGUGAGUAUACCUAUCAGACAAUUUUUGAAUUCAGUGUGCUACUUGAAUGGUUGGAAAUGGCUCCAACAGUUUGCCACAGUGAUUUUCUAGAAGAAAAAUGUGACCUAUAUUAAAUAAUUCCAAAGAUAUUUUGGUGUAACACAGAGAAAACAAUCCAAAGAGUUAGUGAGUCUGGAAUGUUGGAGUUCUGACAUCAAAUACAAGGUCUCAUUUUAAACUCUUAAAAUUUAUUACACAUUUUGAAAUAAUAGUCUAUGCACUUUGUAUACUUCAGAUACAUGCUGUUUCUUUUUGAUAUUCAUAAAUAAACACAGGGUUAAGUUUUAUAUCUCUAGGCCUCAGUACUUACCAACAUUAAAAUACAUAGCUGACUUGUGUGAUGAUAAAGCAUCUAUGUUAAAUCUACCUAAACAUAGAGAGUAAACAUUUAAAUGAUUUCUAAUAAACCACACAAGAGCAGUAAGGCUCGUUAUGGGCACUGUUAUAAGGCACACUUGUAUACCCUUCUCUGCUUCCCCCUUCCAGUAGCAGCAACCAGAUGUGCUGUCUGUAAUUGUGCUGUAUCCAGGCCAUCUAAAAACUGGGGACUGCCUGCACCAAAACAGAUCAAGCCAUGGGAAUUAUUUCAGGAAUGGAUGUGUAAGAAUUGACCUGAUGAAAGGCAAUCCUUGAAUUCAAAGGAGUAAAUUACAAAGAGUUUUUCAUACUGCUGUUGGCCCCUCUACCACCCCUAUUUGGG